AGCGAAAUGUGAUAUAUGGUGUGAAUUGCAGAAUCCCGUGAACCAUCGAGUACUUGAACGCAAGUUGCGCCUGAGGCCAAGUGGUUGAUGGCACACCUGCCUGGUUGUCGUCGUAUGUCGUUUCGCUCCUGUAUUUGCUUGCUGCGGAAAUCAAUCGUUUGACGGCAUGAGCAGGGA
rnacentral:rRNA from 2 species